UAAUACGUAGGGUGCGAGCGUUAAUCGGAAUUACUGGGCGUAAAGCGUGCGCAGGCGGUUGUGCAAGACAGGUGUGAAAUCCCCGGGCUUAACCUGGGAACUGCACUUGUGACUGCACAGCUGGAGUGCGGCAGAGGGGGAUGGAAUUCCGCGUGUAGCAGUGAAAUGCGUAGAUAUGCGGAGGAACACCGAUGGCGAAGGCAAUCCCCUGGGCCUGCACUGACGCUCAUGCACGAAAGCGUGGGGAGCAAACAGGAUUAGAUACCCUGGUAGUCCACGCCCUAAACGAUGUCAACUGGUUGUUGGACGGCUUGCUGUUCAGUAACGUAGCUAACGCGUGAAGUUGACCGCCUGGGGAGUACGGCCGCAAGGUU
rnacentral:rRNA from 1 species